UACGGAGGGUGCAAGCGUUAUCCGGAUUCACUGGGUUUAAAGGGUGCGUAGGUGGGCUGGUAAGUCAGUGGUGAAAUCUCCAGGCUUAACUUGGAAACUGCCAUUGAUACUAUCAGUCUUGAAUACCGUGGAGGUCAGCGGAAUAUAUCAUGUAGCGGUGAAAUGCUUAGAUAUGACAUAGAACACCAAUUGCGAAGGCAGCUGGCUACACGAAUAUUGACACUGAUGCACGAAAGCGUGGGGAUCAAACAGG
rnacentral:rRNA from 1 species